GUGGGGAAUCUUCCGCAAUGGACGAAAGUCUGACGGAGCAACGCCGCGUGAGUGAAGAAGGUUUUCGGAUCGUAAAGCUCUUUCGUUAGGGACGAACGUGCUCUUUGUGAAUAAUGAGGAGUAAUGACGGUACCUAAAUAAGAAGCCACGGCUAACUACGUGCCAGCAGCCGCGGUAAUACGUAGGUGGCAAGCGUUGUCCGGAAUUAUUGGGCGUAAAGCGCGCGCAGGCGGGAUAUCAAGUCUGUCUUAAUAGUGCGAGGCUCAACCUCGUGAGGGGACAGAAACUGGUAUUCUUGAGUGUCGGAGAGGAAAGUGGAAUUCCAAGUGUAGCGGUGAAAUGCGUAGAGAUUUGGAAGAACACCAGUGGCGAAGGCGACUUUCUGGACGAUGUCUGACGCUGAGGCGCGAAAGCUAGGGGAGCGAACGGGAUUAGAUACCCGGGUAGUCC
rnacentral:rRNA from 1 species